AACCGACCCGCUUCAAGGUCCCGCCGCCCAGCACCCUGCGCGGGACACGGCGACCCUGCCCCUCAUGCUGGGGCCCUGGGUGGGCUUCAGGAGCCUGUGCUGCACCCCAUCCCCUGCGUGAGGGUGACAGCGGUGCCGGCAUCCCCCGCACGAGGACGGCAGGGUGGCACCGUGGGGCGGCCGAGGGGAGACAAGUGAUGUCCCCCCAGCGGGGCGGGGGGCGGCGUCUGAAGUUGCAGCGAAGAGGUCAAAGACGUGGGCUCGUCGAACACAGAGAAGCUGAUGAGAUGGGCAGGACCGAGCCAACAUCCGGAUGGCGGGACCAGGGUGACGCAGACAUUGGCACACUGCUGGGGUCAGAGAUCUUGCAGCCCAGCAGUUUCACUGGUAUGAUGGAGGAAAUCAAGCUCAACCAUCACUGAAACACCUCUGCUGUCAGGAGGAAAAGAACAGGCUUUCAGAGUCCCCUUUCCCCAGCCAUCCUGCCCUGGGAAGGGUUGGCCCUAUGAAUAGCUCAGCCUCAUCACUGGGUGACCACUGCAGUGCAGAGGCCUCUAGGCUUCCAGUCUUGGACUGACAGCAGCACAGGCAUCCCUGGAUCCAGGCUGCUGCUCUCAGAGAGACAAAACCCUCUGGUCUGAGUCAACUGCCAGGAAGGUCACUGGCAGUGGGUGAGCACAGAAAUCCUUUGUGCUGCUGCAGCACGGGGCAGAGGGGGUUGCAGUAUACGACGUAACAGCUUGUCCUGACUGCCUGUGAGUCUGCUGUCCUGUGUCCUGGGUGCAUCAGGGGUGAGGGGAACAGGACCAGGAUGUUGCCCCAGUGAUGCUACUGUGCAGAGCAGCAUCCUUUCCCUCCUGCUGACUGUGGAUCCUGGAGCAGCCAGGGGCCAUGCGCGGGUUGUUCAUCCCCUCACCAUAGCCGGGACACCUUUGCAGUUGAGUUCUCUUACUUCUUUUUGCAGCACUAAAUAUGUCCCCUGAAGCAGAGGAUGUCCCACAAUUGUCACACAGAUGUUAACUGCACAUGCCCUCUGGGAUACAGUGUCCCUUGGGCUUUGCCCGGUCUCCAAAGAAAAGCUCUUGAUGGUCAAGGACACCCUGGACAGAUGGCAGCCUCGGGACUUUUGCAAAGGCAAACAUAAUAGCAACCCGUGUUGUCUGUCACCAGCUUGCCUUGGGGUCCCAGCUGGGUUGGCCAUGCUGGCAUGUGUGGUUGCAGACAGCAGGGGCCACGCAAGGAUGAGGAGAGGGGACAGGAGGGCAGAGCAAACCCCUAAUUUGGGGCAGAAAGGUAUCACCCCUUCAAGAGGGCACUAGGCACCACAGAAUGGGCAGCUGGUGGUGUCACCAGGAUGGGCCUCUGGCCACCAGGCAGGGCUGACCCCGCUGUUCACCCCGCAGCAAGGUGGCUGCUGUUGGAGCUGUGCUGUGGAGCACCUGCAUUUCCAUGGAAACCUCUCCCCAUGGUCUGAUGUUGGUCACUAAACAGGGGCAACUAGUGGCUGCAAUGGAGGGCCUUGGUUUUGCAGUCCUGGGGCUGCUGGGUGGGUUGGGCCAGAGGGGUCAGUGGUUGGGGCAACUCUGAAUAGGGCUGUGGGUCACAGUUCAGGGUGGUUCAUGGGUGGGCAGUUUCCCUCACCCAGAGAGCAGGGGCAACUCUGCCUGUUGGCAUGGAAAAGCCCAGGGGAAGGCAUCCCCCUGCCCUGGGCAAGAGCCCCAUCAGCCCAUUGGAGUCCCCUUGGCUCUAUUGCAACGUGUCCCAGGCAUUCCACAGCAUCCCUGCCCCUGACAGCACAGCAUGGCAUGCUGCCUGCCUAUGGCACUUUUCCCACACUCUUCAUCUGCCCCAUGGCAAGGGACCUGCCUCAAUCCCAGACUAAUGCCCCCAGGCCAUGCCCACCCUGCUGCACCUCCAGCACACAGGGCACAGGGUGGCAGGGGGUGCAGGACCUCCACAAUGGGCAGCACCAGUGGUCAUAGGGGGGUCCAGCACAGGGUCUGGAGCACGGUGCUGAACAGGGUGAUGUGCCAGUGGCACAGCAGCGCCAAGGGUACCCCGGGAGAGCAGAGCAGAGCUCCUCACCCAGCUCCCCGCACAGCCCGUCCCCCUGCCUGCCCCCGGCUCCCCUGGCUCGGGGCCUCGGCCCUGGCUCCACUGUCUGCACGCUGCCUGGAGGCGAUUCGGCCCCCCCUCCCCGUGCCUGGUUUCCAUGGCAACUCCAGUUGAAAUUACAUUAAAAAGAAAUGAAACCA